UACGGAGGAUGCAAGCGUUAUCCGGAAUGAUUGGGCGUAAAGGGUCCGCAGGUGGCAGUGUAAGUCUGCUGUCAAAGAAUGAGGCUUAACCUCAUCAAGGCAGUGGAAACUACACAGCUAGAGUACGGUCGGGGUAGAAGGAAUUCCUGGUGUAGCGGUGAAAUGCGUAGAGAUCCGGAGGAAGACCGGUGGCGAAGGCGGUCUGCUGGGCAGUUUCUGACACUGAGGCGCGACAGCGUGGGGAGCAAACAGG
rnacentral:rRNA from 1 species